rnacentral:lncRNA from 1 species
GUCAUGAGUUUUCAUUGCUGGUCUCUACUUUCCUCCCCAGAAGGCCUUAGGUAAGUGGAUGGAUGGGAUCUCAGAGCAAUGGGCAGGCGAGGUGGUCAGGCGCAGUGUGGUCAGUGUCUCCUGGCCCCAGGUGAUGACUCAGACCUGUCCCUGCCCUACCUGUACAGAAGAGCCUCAGACAAGGUCAGUCCAUGGCCUCGAGCACCUCCUACUUCCUGGGGCCCCUCAGUCCAGCUGGCUGCCCGUUCCCUAGGCUCUCCCAGCUUCCAGGGCCCACCUAGUCCCUC